rnacentral:tRNA from 1 species
GGGGAUUUUAUUUGAUCGCUGCUAACGAUUAGUUGAGUUUUUGUUUUUGCUCGGUUCCUU